rnacentral:rRNA from 1 species
GAUGAACGCUGGCGGCGUGCUCAACACAUGCAAGUCGAACGGAAAGGCUCCUGCUUGCAGGGGUACUCGAGUGGCGAACGGGUGAGUAACACGUGGGUGAUCUGCCCUGCACUUCGGGAUAAGCCUGGGAAACUGGGUCUAAUACCGGAUAGGACGAUGGUUUGGAUGCCAUUGUGGAAAGUUUUUUCGGUGUGGGAUGAGCUCGCGGCCUAUCAGCUUGUUGGUGGGGUAAUGGCCUACCAAGGCGUCGACGGGUAGCCGGCCUGAGAGGGUGUACGGCCACAUUGGGACUGAGAUACGGCCCAGACUCCUACGGGAGGCAGCAGUGGGGAAUAUUGCACAAUGGGCGCAAGCCUGGUGCAGCGACGCCGCGUGGGGGAUGACGGCCUUCGGGUUGUAAACUCCUUUCGCUAGGGACGAAGCGCAAGUGACGGUACCUGGAGAAGAAGCACCGGCUAACUACGUG